UGUGUUGUCUGGGCGUGGCUUCUCACUUUGGGCCUGGCGCUCCACCUCCACCUGCACACCUGAUCCACAUUCCACUAAUCAACUCUGCAGUAUAUCAACCCGGUUCUUCACCUCACUCGUUGCCAGAUCGUCAGCUUACCUCAGUGGAUCACUGCCUGCCUGGAGAUUCUGCCACUGCCUCACCCAGCUCCCUGCCUGCCUGGAGAUCCUGCCCCUGCCUUGCUCAGCUCACUGCCCGCCUGGAAAUCCACUCGCUGGUCUCCAUUCCCUGGUCUGCCCUCUGCUCCACUUUCACACCCCGUUUUUCAAUAAACUUUAAAUUCCUGGAUUUAAA